GGACUUUCUCCACGGCGGCAGCUCGGGGACGCAGGGGAUGGAGCCCAGAGCCGCGAGGCCGGAGUUGGAAAAGCUCCGCAAGUGCUCCGCAAGAAGCCCAGCCAUGCCGCUGUCUGUCCAGUAGCAUGAGAAAGUCGCUCAGGUCCUUUGGUUUUGGGACUGCGCAUAAAACAGGCCCACUCCUGCCCACGGGAGCACGUGGAGCCUGGGUCUGCACCCAUCUCUUGGAAAGAAUAAAGUCAGCUCCAUUCUGAAUUUACCACGCCGUGUUCUCUACAGCCCCACAAGCCCUGUGUCUGUUGAAGGAAGCUUCUGGAAUGGGAUCCAGUUCAGCCCACCAGGAUCCCAACUGUUCGGCUAAUGGAGUCUGGUUGUAGGCUGAACACUGGACAUCCCUUGUCUCUGCCACGUAACUCUCAGGCUGCUCCUGAGCUGGUCCUGGUGUUGGGACAAAGUCCCUGCUGCUGUGGACAUGUGACACCCAAUGUCUGUUCCUGUACCACUUCUCCUUGAACAAUAGGCCUGGAAUGAACCUUUCCUUUCCAUAAAUUGUUUCUGAUAAGGUGUUUUGUCCCAUCCAUGAAAAGAACAAAUACUGCUGGCCCAAUACUAGUCCUGGGGGAGCAGAGCUGCCUGCAGCCCUUGGGAAACCCACCUUGAUCGUCUCAUACGUGUCAGUGAUCAGCGCGAUGAACAGGCUGAGAAUCAUGUAGAUGAAGAGGCUGAUGAAUGAAUAGAGGUAAAUUCUACUGAAGAGCCAGACCAGGUAACUCUUCUGCUGCAUUCUUGCAAAAGUGGCAAACAUGUCAUCUCCAUUGAUCAGAGAGAAAAGGCACUCGGAGACCCUGUUCAGAGAACGGAACUGGAAAAAAUAAAGAAAAGUCACUUUUGGCUGCAUACGGAAUUCAAGGCUAGUGUGGGCUACCUGAGAUCCAGUCUUAAAAUAAAUAAUUAACUGGUAAUAAUAAUACAAAUAAAGAGGGUAAACAAGCAUUUUCCCUUGUUCUGGGAACUUACUAACAGCAGGAAGAAAGCUGGCACCACUACCUUAUCAUGGUAAGGCCCCAGAACUAUCCAUCCGCAGAAGCAGUACCCUAAAUAGAUCAUAGCAGCGCAGCAGCAGAACCUCAUGACAUUGGGCAGCGCCGCCUGGAGCGUCAGGAUCAGGAGCUGUGGAUGAAAAAGAGGUCACUGGGGUAUCUGUCCUUAAGGCAAAUCAGCAGAGCAACUUGAAGGAAGUUCUGUGGAAUUGCUUACAUUGUACUUCUCAAAGAAACCCAGGUACCGGAUCACACCGAGCCACACGAGCAUUGUGGAAGUCCCCAGAAAUAUGCUACAGACAUCAUAACUUGUGAGGCUCUAAGAUGGAGUAGAAAUAAAACACAAAUUAGGACUGGAGAGAUGGCUUAGUGGUUAAGGCGCUUGCCUGCAAAGCCAAAGGACCCAGGUUCAAUUCCCUAGGACCCAUGUAAGCCAG